AGAACGAACGCUGGCGGCGUGGAUAAGACAUGCAAGUCGAACGGGAUCACUUGGUAGCAAUAUUGAGUGGUUCAGUGGCGAACGGGUGCGUAACACGUGGAUAACAUUCCGGGAAGCGAGGGAUAGCCCAGGGAAACUUGGAUUAAUACCUCAUGUGGUCGCAAGACUAAAGGCGCAAGCCGCUUCCUGAUUGGUCCGCGGCCUAUCAGCUAGUUGGCGGGGUAAAAGCCCACCAAGGCUACGACGGGUAGCUGGUCUUAGAGGACGACCAGCCACACUGGAACUGAGACACGGUCCAGACACCUACGGGUGGCAGCAGUCGAGAAUCUUUCACAAUGGGGGCAACCCUGAUGGAGCGACGGCCGCGUGGACGGAUAAGGUCUUCGGAUUGUAAACUCCUGUCAUGCGAGAACAAAGCCUUAUGGGUGUGAUAGUAUCGCAAGAGGAAGAGACGGCUAACUCUGUGCCAGCAGCCGACGGU
rnacentral:rRNA from 1 species